UGGAUUAGCUCAGUUGGUAGAGCAUCGGACUGAAAAUCCGUGUGUCCCCGGUUCGAGUCC
rnacentral:tRNA from 1 species